rnacentral:miRNA from 1 species
AAAUGAUGAUGGUGGUGGUGGUGGUGGUGGUGGUGAUCAUCAUCAUCAUCAUCAUCAAAAUAG